CUGCGGUCUGUCACGGUAAACUCCCGCUACUUGGAGCGCGUCACAUCCAGAGGAACAUGUCCUUCUCUCAGUGUGCUGACGGCAGGAGCGUCACAGGUUAUUAAACCUGAUGCCAGCGGUACCUUGCCACAAGGGGGGAGAUUGAGAGAGCAAAAGAACAAGAGACUGAAGCACAGAG